GUGCUCGCUUCGGCAGCACAUAUACUAAAACUGGAACGAUACAGAGAAGAUUAGCAUGGCCCCUGUGCAAGGAUGACGUGCAAAUUCAUGAAGCGUUCCAUAUUUUU
ensembl:snRNA U6 U6 spliceosomal RNA